GUCGAACGCUGGCGGCGUGCCUAAUACAUGCAAGUCGAGCGAAGCGGCGGAUGGGUGAGUCACGCGUGGUGAACCAGACCUUAAGUCUGGGAUACAAUUUGGAACCAGCUGCUAAUACCGGAUACUAAUGGAUGGACCUGGGAUGCAUUAGCUAGUUGGUAAGGUAACGGCUUACCAAGGCGAUGAUGCCGAGCUGGUUUGAGAGGAUGAUCGGCCACAGUGGGACUGAGACACGGUCCAAACUCCUACGGGAGGCAGCAGUAGGGAAUCUUCCACAAUGGACGAAAGUCUGAUGGAGCCAUGCCGCGUGUGUGAAGAAGGUUUUCGGAUCGUAAAGCUCUGUUGGUGGGGAAGCGGUAAUCACACAGAAAGUCACGGCUAACUACGUGCCAGCAGCCGCGGUAAUUC
rnacentral:rRNA from 1 species